CCUGCCCAGUGAGGUUUCAACCCUUAAACGGCCGCGCAUAAAAACAUGCAAAGGUAGCAAAAUCAUUUGUCCUCUAAAUAGGGACCAGUAUGAACGGCAACAUGAAAAAAAAACUGUCUCUUUAGGCUACCCAAUGAACCUGACCUGCCUGUACAAAUGCAAACAUAAAAAAACAAAACAAAAAAACCCUGUGAAGCUUUAAAUGUAAAUCAACAAACUGAUCAACACAUUUUUGGUUGGGGCAACCAAAGAAAAAUAUAAACCUCACAACUAGUCACAAGGCCAACAAGCCAAAUGACAAAACAACAUAAACCCAUUAUUACUGAUCAAAAAACCAAUUUACUCCAGGGAUAACACCCCUACAUUCUUGAAAAGUCCAUAUCAACAAAAAUACCUACAACCUCAAUGUUGGAUUAGGGUACCCAAAUGGCCCAAAAUUUAUCAACGGUUCUUUUGUUCAACAAUUAAAACCCCACGUGAUCUGA
rnacentral:rRNA from 1 species